rnacentral:lncRNA from 1 species
AGGGUUUGGUCCUCGUGUGACCUAAUAAUACCAAGACUAUCAUAAAAUGAAGACUCAUGCACUCCUACACUAGGUAAAACCGCAACUAUGUUCAUAUGAGUGUAGAGGAUAACAUUUUUACCUUGUAGCUUACAUGAACUAUGGGCUUCGUCUUGAAGUAUGUCCAGGAAGCCCACUUGCUCCCUUGGAACUCCCAUUUGAUCCAACCUUUCAUUUAUCACUUCCCAUUGAUGGGUAAUGGCUUCAAGUUUAG